rnacentral:rRNA from 1 species
ACGACGGGGAAGCUUGCUUCCCCGGGCGUCGACCGGCGCACGGGUGAGUAACGCGUAUCCAACCUGCCUCUGACUGAGGGAUAACCCGUCGAAAGUCGGCCUAAUACCUCAUGGCAUCGUCUGCGGGCAUCCAACGACGAUUAAAGAUUUCAUCGGUCAGAGAUGGGGAUGCGUCUGAUUAGCUAGUUGGCGGGGUAACGGCCCACCAAGGCGACGAUCAGUAGGGGUUCUGAGAGGAAGGUCCCCCACAUUGGAACUGAGACACGGUCCAAACUCCUACGGGAGGCAGCAGUGAGGAAUAUUGGUCAAUGGGCGAGAGCCUGAACCAGCCAAGUAGCGUGCAGGAAGACGGCCCUAUGGGUUGUAAACUGCUUUUAUGCGGGGAUAAAGUGAGGGACGUGUCCUUCAUUGCAGGUACCGCAUGAAUAAGGACCGGCUAAUUCCGUGCCAGCAGCCGCGGUAAUACGGAAGGUCCGGGCGUUAUCCGGAUUUAUUGGGUUUAAAGGGAGCGUAGGCCGUGGAUUAAGCGUGUUGUGAAAUGCAGGUGCUCAACGUCUGCACUGCAGCGCGAACUGGUCCACUUGAGUGUGCACAACGCAGGCGGAAUUCGUCGUGUAGCGGUGAAAUGCUUAGAUAUGACGAAGAACUCCGAUUGCGAAGGCAGCUUGCGGGAGCACAACUGACGCU